UGGACGGUCUGCCCCUUCCUGCGCCAUCACAUCUUCACUGGACCUGAGGGAGGCCCGUAGAGGUCUCCAACUGCACACAAUUUUCGGAGGGACUGGAAGCGGCCCGGAGUCGGAGAUGUCGCCAAAUGGAAAGCGGAGAGUCUCAUCCUGGCGAAGGAAAGCGUCCAGCGCACGAUAGUAAAUCAAUUUAGUCAAGGACUGGCUUCUGUGAUGGUGGAAAUCCUGGAAGGAGGACAAUAAACUAUAUUUGGAUCAUUAAGUCAAGUUGACUGGAGCACUGUGAAGCUACAAUAUUGAUGACAUCAUUGUGUCAGAAGACCCAGUUUGUUGUGUGAUGAAGCUGGGAAAGAAUGAAAAAUUGGAAAAUUGCAGAACACUCAUUGUCACUGAAAUAAGAUGUACUAAUCCUGCAGAGUAAACCUGUUUGCAAUUGCAUAAACAGAGCAGAUUAAGUAACUUUAAAAUGAUCAGUAUUUCUAUUCUAAUAUCGUGCGGCUUACGGUUGUAUAUUUGUUUUGAUUCAGAGUUACUGCUGCAGCUUCUUUGUAUUAACAUCCUGUUUCUAUAUUAAAAUGC